GGAACCUGUGCGGCAGGAACGCUGUGAACCGGGUCAGGUUGGGAACAAAGCAGCCCUAAGCAGCCUACUUGGGCGCCAGG
rnacentral:SRP_RNA from 1 species